UGNUCUGUCACUGACGCUGAGGCUCGAAAGCGUGGGUAGCGAACAGGAUUAGAUACCCUGGUAGUNCACGCCGUAAACGAUGAGUGCUAGGUGUUAGGCCCUUUCCGGGGCUUAGUGCCGGAGCUAACGCAAUAAGCACUCCGCCUGGGGAGUACGACCGCAAGGUUGAAACUCAAAGGAAUUGACGGGGGCCCGCACAAGCGGUGGAGCAUGUGGUUUAAUUCGAAGCAACGCGAAGAACCUUACCAGGUCUUGACAUCCCGAUGCUAUUCUUAGAGAUAGGAAGUUACUUCGGUACAUCGGAGACAGGUGGUGCAUGGUUGUCGUCAGCUCGUGUCGUGAGAUGUUGGGUUAAGUCCCGCAACGAGCGCAACCCUUAUUGUUAGUUGCCAUCAUUAAGUUGGGCACUCUAGCGAGACUGCCGGUAAUAAACCGGAGGAAGGUGGGGAUGACGUCAAAUCAUCAUGCCCCUUAUGACCUGGGCUACACACGUGCUACAAUGGUCGGUACAACGAGUUGCGAGCCGGUGACGGCAAGCUAAUCUCUGAAAGCCGAUCUCAGUUCGGAUUGGAGGCUGCAACUCGCCUCCAUGAAGUCGGAAUCGCUAGUAAUCGCGGAUCAGCACGCCGCGGUGAAUACGUUCCCGGGCCUUGUACACACCGCCCGUCACACCACGAGAGUUUGUAACACCCGAAGUCGGUGAGGUAACCUUCUAGGGGCCAGCCGCCUAAGGNGGGA
rnacentral:rRNA from 1 species